rnacentral:ncRNA from 2 species
UGCAGCUAUGAAGCGCCGGGCCCUUUUGCAACAGCGGAGCGGGAAGCGCUGCUUCCCCAUGGGCUUGCCCACCGCCACGAAGGGUGACGAGGAUGGGAGAUAACCCGUUUUCGGCAAUGUGCCGAAGCGGGCGGCAUCGAAAGAUUCGGCGGAUGCUCCCACGGCCGGGGUUCCGGGCGGCCGACACCAUGCGGGCAAAACACGGCGGCAACGCCGAAACAGAGACGCAUGGCACACCGGGA